rnacentral:rRNA from 1 species
AUUGAACGCUGGCGGCAGGCCUAACACAUGCAAGUCGGACGGUAGCACAGAGGAGCUUGCUCCUCGGGUGACGAGUGGCGGACGGGUGAGUAAUGUCUGGGGAUCUGCCCGAUAGAGGGGGAUAACCACUGGAAACGGUGGCUAAUACCGCAUGACGUCGCAAGACCAAAGAGGGGGACCUUCGGGCCUCUCACUAUCGGAUGAACCCAGAUGGGAUUAGCUAGUAGGCGGGGUAACGGCCCACCUAGGCGACGAUCCCUAGCUGGUCUGAGAGGAUGACCAGCCACACUGGAACUGAGACACGGUCCAGACUCCUACGGGAGGCAGCAGUGGGGAAUAUUGCACAAUGGGCGCAAGCCUGAUGCAGCCAUGCCGCGUGUAUGAAGAAGGCCUUCGGGUUGUAAAGUACUUUCAGCGGGGAGGAAGGCGAUGUGGUUAAUAACCGCGUCGAUUGACGUUACCGACAGAAUAAGCACCGGCUAACUUCGUGCCAGCAGCCGCAGUAA